AGAGUUUGAUCAUGGCUCAGGAUGAACGCUAGCUACAGGCUUAACACAUGCAAGUCGAGGGGCAGCAUGACUGAAGCUUGCUUCAGUUGAUGGCGACCGGCGUACGGGUGCGUAACGCGUAUCCAACCUGCCCUCUACUCCGGAACAGCCCGUCGAAAGGCGGAUUAAUGCCGGAUGGUGUCCACUUGGUGCAUGCCAUGGUGGACUAAAGGUAACGGUAGAGGAUGGGGAUGCGACUGAUUAGGUAGACGGCGGGGUAACGGCCCACCGUGCCGACGAUCAGUAGGGGUUCUGAGAGGAAGGUCCCCCACACUGGAACUGAGACACGGUCCAGACUCCUACGGGAGGCAGCAGUGAGGAAUAUUGGUCAAUGGGCGAGAGCCUGAACCAGCCAAGUAGCGUGAGGGAAGACUGCCCUAUGGGUUGUAAACCUCUUUUGAUUGGGAACAAAGAGCGCCACGUGUGGUGCGUUGCGUGUACCUUUCGAAUAAGCAUCGGCUAAUUCCGUGCCAGCAGCCGCGGUAAUACGGAAGAUGCGAGCGUUAUCCGGAUUUAUUGGGUUUAAAGGGAGCGUAGGCGGGCUGUUAAGUCAGCGGUCAAAUGUCAGGGCCCAACCUUGGCAUGCCGUUGAUACUGGCGGCCUUGAGUUCACACAAGGAAGGUGGAAUUCGUCGUGUAGCGGUGAAAUGCUUAGAUAUGACGAAGAACUCCGAUUGCGAAGGCAGCCUUCUGGGGUGUUACUGACGCUGAGGCUCGAAAGUGCGGGAAUCAAACAGGAUUAGAUACCCCGGUAGU
rnacentral:rRNA from 1 species